UCUGCGGAGAAAGCAUGGUCAGGGUCGCAAAGCUCGGCAGUGGCCGGAAAGCAAUACGGCAUUGCCGCAACUAUUAGGUCGUAAACUUGCCAGUCAUGUUCAGCAACGCGGCACUGGCACGAUUAGGUCAUAAGCUUGCCAGUAAGGUUAGGUACCUGUGUUUUUCCUCUCCUAGCUCUACUUGAUCCGCAUAAUACAUGCAUGCAUACAUAGAACACAGACAUCUAUAUGUAUGUACAUAUAUAUUUUAAGUGCAUAUUAUAUAUUUACAAAUUAUAUGUCAGAUGUAUUUGUUAUAAACACGUCAUGUUUUUCAUUUUAGUAUCUACUUCAACUUCCUUCUAAUCCUAUUUUACUCAGACUCUUUUCAUUCAUCCUACUGGUAUAUUGUAACUACGUGCUGGCUCAGUGUCAACAGGUCAGUUGGUGGGACAAGUAUUAUUCCCAGGAGCUUUACACAUUCACACAACUGGCUUCUCUAGAGACCUCCCACCGUGUCUAAUUGUGAGAGUAAAUUGAAUGUCUAUUUUAGGCGUCACAUCUACGGGCCACGCCACACAUCUCAGCCAGUCUGGGCCUCUGGGUUUCCUUUCCUUCCCCCACUGGAUGGCUUCUUAGGAUCCUACAUACUCCAGCGACUCUACAUUCGCCUCCCCUUCAACACACGUGCUUUUGCUGACUUGCUGCUGGGUUCCUUGCAAAACCUAUACCAUGUCCUAAUGGGCAGAGAUGCACAGCAAGGCCAAUGGGACCCUGAGAGGAAUGACUGAGAUGCUCAUAUCCUAGCCCCGUGACCAACAGAUUGGAGUCCAAAUGGUGCCUGAACCACAGGAGACCCACCUUAUCUCCAGCCAGGAUCUUGAAGGAAGCCAUGACCUGAUCCGCUGUAUCUGUGUCAGCCGUCUCUCGGGACAUGAAGUCGAUGAAGGCCUGGAACGUCACUACCCCCAAGCGGUUUGGGUCUACAAUGCUCAUGAUCCGGGCAAAUUCUGCCUCUCCCUAGAGGAAACAGCCAACACACACCUGUCACCCUAGUGGCCUACUGGGUGUCUCAGGUGUACGUCCAGCCCUAAGUAGCCUAUGGUUGGAACAGGAGGGCACAACAGACCUCUGAUCUGGCUUGGGUUGCCCCAGGGUAUGAACGUGACUCAAUAGUUGGGAUUUUCAGGAUUUCCAACCCCCCAACCCCCUGCAGUGCCCUUGGUUUCCUUUAUAGGAAAUGAUGGCAGUAUUAAUUAUAAUGACAAUAAAAUGAACAAUGGCUAACACCCACA